GGGGGGGGGGGGGGGGGGGCGGGGGGCGGGCGGGGGGGGGGGGGGGGCGGGGGGGUGGGCGGGGGGGCGGGGGGCGGGCGGGUGGGGGGUAGGUGGGGGCAUGGCCUGUAGGGGGGGAUCGCCCGGCGGAAGCCGGCUUAAUACCGCAUACGAUCUACGGGUGACAGCGGGGUACCUGCCGGCCUCGCUCGAGCCGGCUCGCCGAUGGCUGAUUAGCUAGUUGGUGGGGUAAAGGCCUACCAAGGCGACGAGCCGUCGCUGGUCUGAGAGGACGACCAGCCACACUGGGACUGAGACACGGCCCAGACUCCUACGGGAGGCAGCAGUGGGGAAUUUUGGACAAUGGGCGAAAGCCUGAUCCAGCAAUGCCGCGUGUGUGAAGAAGGCCUUCGGGUUGUAAAGCACUUUUGUCCGGAAAGAAAUCCUUGGCCCUAAUACGGUCGGGGGAUGACGGUACCGGAAGAAUAAGCACCGGCUAACUACGUG
rnacentral:rRNA from 1 species